UCGCGGCGGUGCGCSCAGAAGGGUCUGGGCUCGAGCCUGCCUGGAGCCGCCGCCGGUGCAGAUCUUGGUGGUAGUAGCAAAUACUCCAGCGAGGCCCUGGAGGACUGACGUGGAGAAGGGUUUCGUGUGAACAGCCGUUGCACACGAGUCAGUCGACCCUAAGCCCUAGGAGAAAUCCGAUGUAAACGGCGUUGGGAAACAUUGAUUCAUUUAUGAAAGAAGCCCACUGAUCGGGCGAAAGGGAAUCCGGUUCCUAUUCCGGAACCCGGCAGCGGAACCGUUGUUUGUCGGGCCCUCACAAGGGGUUCGUCAGGGCAACCUAAAAGGGCCCGGAGACGCCGUCGGGAGCCCCGGAAAGAGUUUUCUUUUCUGCAUGAGCGUUCGAGUUCCCUGGAAUCCUCUCGCAGGGAGAUAGGGUUUGGAACGCGAAGAGCACCGCAGUUGCGGCGGUGCCCGGGAAUCCCCGACGGACCUUGAAAAUCCGGGAGAGGGCCACGUGGAGGUGUCGCGCCGGCUCGUACCCAUAUCCGCAGCAGGUCUCCAAGGUGAAGAGCCUCUAGUC
rnacentral:rRNA from 1 species